GACGAACGCUGGCGGCGUGCCUAAUACAUGCAAGUCGAACGCAGUGGGGACGGGUGAGGAACACGUGGGUAACCUCCCAUCAGAGGGGAUAACACUUGGAAACAGGUGCUAAACCGCUACUGAUGGAUGGACCCGCGGUGCAUUAGCUAGUUGGUGAGGUAACGGCUCACCAAGGCCACGAGGCAUAGCCGGCCUGAGAGGAUGAUCGGCCACACUGGGACUGAGACACGGCCCAGACUCCUACGGGAGGCAGCAGUAGGGAAUUUUCGACAAUGGACGAAAGUCUGACCGAGCAACGCCGCGUGAGUGAAGAAGGUUUUCGGAUCGUAAAGCUCUGUUGUUAGAGAAGCGGGAUCUAACCAGGAAGCAACGGCUAACUACGUGCCAGCAGCCGCGGUAAUUC
rnacentral:rRNA from 1 species